AUUGAACGCUGGCGGCAGGCUUAACACAUGCAAGUCGAGCGGAGAGAGGUAGCUUGCUACUGAUCUUAGCGGCGGACGGGUGAGUAGUGCUUAGGAAUCUGCCUAUUAGUGGGGGACAACAUUUCGAAAGGAAUGCUAAUACCGCACACGUCCUACGGGAGAAAGAAGGGGAUCUUCGGACCUUGCGCUAAUAGAUGAGCCUAAGUCGGAUUAGCUAGUUGGUGGGGUAAAGGCCUACCAAGGCGACGAUCUGUAGCGGGUCUGAGAGGAUGAUCCGCCACACUGGGACUGAGACACGGCCCAGACUCCUACGGGAGGCAGCAGUGGGGAAUAUUGGACAAUGGGCGGAAGCCUGAUCCAGCCAUGCCGCGUGUGUGAAGAAGGCCUUAUGGUUGUAAAGCACUUUAAGCGAGGAGGAGGCUACUUUAGUUAAUACCUAGAGAUAGUGGACGUUACUCGCAGAAUAAGCACCGGCUAACUCUGUGCCAGCCGCCGCCGUAA
rnacentral:rRNA from 1 species